rnacentral:lncRNA from 1 species
GGACUUUCUCCGCGUGGUUGAUGACUGCCUUUCUCCAGCAAGGCUUCCAGAGCUCCCAGCAGUCAAUUUAUCAACAUAGGAUGACAACUUCAUUGUUGUUCUUUGAAAACUUUGGCUCUAAAGGACUUCUUGGGAUUUUAGCUUACGAAGAUGCCUUUGGGAGAGUAUUCUUGUAUGGAGUAGUAAAUCCGCUUGACAAAUGUUGGACCUUUUGAAACUCAAGACAGAAUCAACUCAUUGGUUCCCCUACCCGCCAAGUGAGUAUGUUCUUUUCUGGAACUUCUAAGAGCCACUCAGCUGGAAAUAAAACCUUUCUAUCAGUUGUGGACUGUGGGAGUUUAGCUUUGGUAACCUGGAUGUUAUCACAUUCCCCAGGACUGUGUAAAGGAAUUCACAUCAGUAUGUGUAACUCAGCUUUCUUAUUUGAAGUAGUUUUCCAAAGCUGCUGAAACAAAUUGCUUCGAGUUUGGUGGCUUCAAACAACAUGUGUUUAUUCUCUCACAGUGCCGAAGUCUAGAAGCCCUUGUGCUGGGCUGCAGUCAGUACCCGCUGGGUUGGUUCCUUCGGGGGUUCUGGGGACUUUUCCUCACUUUUUCCGGUUUCUGGAGACUGUCUUCAUGCCUUCACACACGGGCUCUGCUCCCAUCAUUCUAACUCUGCCUCUGCUCUCAUUUCUCCUGCUCUUUGGACUCUAGCCUUCCUGCGUCCCUCUUUAAGGACUACUGUGAAUACAUCAGGUGCACUUAAAUAAUUUAGAAGAAACUCCCCACUUCAAGAUCCUUAAUGUAAUAACAAAUUAAUGCUCCCAGAUUUUGGGGAUCAGAAUGUGGACAUAGUAGGGGCCUACUGUGCGUACCACAUGGCUCUUGCUCCCAUUUGCUCAUGCUGGACCUUUUCCUCCUGCAGUUAUCCCUGAGGUGCUGUUUGGAGUCUGAUGCAUGCUCCCCCACACCCCGCCGCCGCCGCCGCCGCCGCCGCCGCCGUGCCUACCACAGACUCCCCUGAGGCCAGCCCACUCCUCAGAACCUGAGCUGAGGAUGACACUAGCAAUGCUAGACGCCAGGAAAAGUGGAGACUGGUAUCUCUGCUUCCGGACUGUUCAUCAUGUGGGCCCACCAACAGUGUGGACAUCCAUGCACAGAGGGAAGCUUCAGAAACAACAUCAUGACCCCAGGAGGAGGGCUCAGCAGUCUCUGUAUCUCUGUUGGUGA